AGUCAAUAGAUACCCUGGUAGUCCAUGCCGUAAACGAUGAUUGCUAGGUGUGGGGGGUCGUGACCCCUCCCGUGCCGGACGGUUAAGCACAAUAAGCAAUCCACCUCGGGGAGGUACGGCCGCAAGGUUGAAACUACAAGGAAUUGACGGGGGCCCGGCACAAGCAGUGGAGUAUGUGGUUUAAUUUCGAAGCAACGCGAAGAACCUUACCAGGUCUUGACAUCCACCGAAUCCUGUAGAGAUACGGGAGUGCCCUUCGGGGUAACGGGUGAGACAGGUGGUGCAUGGUUGUCGUCAGCUCGUGUCGUGAGAU
rnacentral:rRNA from 1 species